UACGAAGGGGGCUAGCGUUGUUCGGAAUUACUGGGCGUAAAGCGCACGUAGGCGGAUACUUAAGUUAGGGGUGAAAUCCCAGAGCUCAACUCUGGAACUGCCUCUAAUACUGGGUAUCUCGAGUUCGAGAGAGGUGAGUGGAAUUCCGAGUGUAGCGGUGAAAUGCGCAGAUAUUAGGAAGAACACCGGUGGCGAAGGCGGCUCUCUGGAACGGUACUGACGCUGAGACGCGAAAGCGUGGGGAGCGAACAGG
rnacentral:rRNA from 1 species